CACACAUGCAUAGAGUUUGAUCAUGGCUCAGAACGAACGCUGGCGGCAGGCUUAACACAUGCAAGUCGAGCGCCCCGCAAGGGGAGCGGCAGACGGGUGAGUAACGCGUGGGAAUCUACCCUUUUCUACGGAAUAACGCAGGGAAACUUGUGCUAAUACCGUAUGUGUCCUUCGGGAGAAAGAUUUAUCGGGAAAGGAUGAGCCCGCGUUGGAUUAGCUAGUUGGUGGGGUAAAGGCCUACCAAGGCGACGAUCCAUAGCUGGUCUGAGAGGAUGAUCAGCCACAUUGGGACUGAGACACGGCCCAAACUCCUACGGGAGGCAGCAGUGGGGAAUAUUGGACAAUGGGCGCAAGCCUGAUCCAGCCAUGCCGCGUGAGUGAUGAAGGCCCUAGGGUUGUAAAGCUCUUUCACCGGAGAAGAUAAUGACGGUAUCCGGAGAAGAAGCCCCGGCUAACUUCGUGCCAGCAGCCGCGGUA
rnacentral:rRNA from 1 species